UGGAUAGGUGGAUGAUGGGUGGAUAGGUGGAUGAUGGGUAGAUAGGUGGAUGAUGGGUGGAUAGGUGGAUGAUGGGUAGAUAGGUGGAUGAUGGGUGGAUGGAUGGAUGAUGUGUAGAUAGGUGGAUGAUGGGUAGAUAGGUGGAUGAUGGGUGGAUGGAUGGAUGAUGGGUGGAUAGGUGGAUGAUGGGUGGAUGGAUGGAUGAUGGGUGGAUGGAUGGAUGAUGGGUGGAUGGAUGGAUGAUGGGUGGAUAGGUGGAUGAUGGGUGGAUAGGUGGAUGAUGGGUAGAUAGGUGGAUGAUGGGUGGAUGGAUGGAUGAUGGGUGGAUAGGUGGAUGAUGGGUGGAUGGAUGGAUGAUGGGUGGAUGGAUAGAUGAUGGGUAGAUAGGUGGAUGAUGGGUGGAUAGGUGGAUGAUGGGCGGAUGGAUGGAUGAUGGGUGGAUGGAUGGAUGAUGGGUGGAUAGGUGGAUGAUGGGUGGAUAGGUGGAUGAUGGGUGGAUAGGUGGAUGAUGGGUGGAUAGGUGGAUGAUGGGUGGAUGGAUGGAUGAUGGGUGGAUAGGUGGAUGAUGGGUGGAUGGAUGGAUGAUGUGUAGAUAGGUGGAUGAUGGGUAGAUAGGUGGAUGAUGGGUAGAUAGGUGGAUGAUGGGUGGAUGGAUGGAUGAUGGGUGGAUAGGUGGAUGAUGGGUGGAUGGAUGGUGGAUGGGUGAUGGAUGCUAGCUGCUCUACAUGCAUGGUCUCAUUUAAUCUGCACAAAUGACCUAGGGGGUGAUUCAUGGUAUGUUUGUGGAGUGGACUCAUGCAUGACCUCAUGUUGUGGUUUUAUGUGUGGUCCGAGAAAAAGAGAAGCUCAGGGAAAUUGAGAAACUUACCCAGAUGUCCCUUGUAGAUGUCAGAACGGGAAUGAGAACACAGGUCUCCCAGAUCCAAAUCCUUUCAAAGGAAGGAGAGAAAGGGAAGGAAUUUCUACCUCUGGAUUCGUCCUCCUUAAAGACCAAGAACCACCUCCAUCAACAUAAUCAAACAUAAUAACCUCUAGUGGCCCAGACCAGCUCAUGGCUUCACAGCAGUGAGAAGCCAAUCACCCUGCCUUUAACACAAACUCCCCACAGUGGAAUCUCAGAGGGCCCUUACCUCAUGUGCUUCUUGUCGAGCAUGGCCCGCGCCCAGGUCAGGAUGAUUCACGUGGAUACAUAUCUUAGGCCCUACUUUUACAGACUAGAGACUGACUUGGCUGUGCUGCUGGACUCGGAGGAGGUGUGCCAGGUGAGCACAGGAGGCUCAGAGCCAGAGGCGAGCUCAGGAGCAAGCUCUAGAGAAGAGAGCCUCAGCUUGGGGUGGCAGAGGGGAGGAAUUGGAAGGAGCCCCCAGAUGUUUCCCUCUCAGAACUCAACCACCUGGGGUUUGACAAAUCAACACUCCCCCCAACGAUCAUCAAGCAACUGUUCUGUGUGAGGUCCCAAAGACCCCAGAACGAGGAACACGUGGCCCCAGCUCCAGGCACGUGAGUUAGUUCACACGUCUGGCGUACGUUGUCACAUGCAGCUUGCCUUCCAACUCCUAUUGCUGACAAUCCUUCAGCUCGACCAUCUCCCACCUCCUCUCCCUCCUCCAGUCAGUAACUCUUCUUGCCUGUUCACUCGAUGCCAGCCCCUGUAUGCCAGCUGUUGUACUGUACUACUGUACUUUGCAAGGUACUGUACUGUAAGACUAAAAAUGUUUUCUUUA